UUUUCUGAGAGUUUGAUUCUGGCUCAGAACGAACGCUGGUAGCGUGGAUUAGGCAUGUAAGUCGAACGGGAUCGCCGAGUUAGCAAUAACAAGGCGUGAGAGUGGCGGAUUGGGGAGGAACACGUGAGCAACCUGCCUUUGAGUUGGGGAAAACCGUUGGAAACGACGGCUAAUACCGGAUGUGGCGCCUGGGGACAUC
rnacentral:rRNA from 1 species